rnacentral:tRNA from 1 species
GGUCGUGUAGCUCAGCUGGUUAGAGUGCUUCGUUCACAUCGAAGAGGUCUCUGGUUCGAGUCCAGACACGACCACCA